GACGAACGCUGGCGGCGUGCUUAACACAUGCAAGUCGAACGGAAAGGCCCUGCUUUUGUGGGGUGCUCGAGUGGCGAACGGGUGAGUAACACGUGAGUAACCUGCCCUUGACUUUGGGAUAACUUCAGGAAACUGGGGCUAAUACCGGAUAGGAGCUCCUGCUGCAUGGUGGGGGUUGGAAAGUUUCGGCGGUUGGGGAUGGACUCGCGGCUUAUCAGCUUGUUGGUGGGGUAGUGGCUUACCAAGGCUUUGACGGGUAGCCGGCCUGAGAGGGUGACCGGCCACAUUGGGACUGAGAUACGGCCCAGACUCCUACGGGAGGCAGCAGUGGGGAAUAUGGCACAAUGGGCGGAAGCCUGAUGCAGCAGCGCCGCGUGCGGGAUGACGGCCUUCGGGUUGUAAACCGCUUUCGCCUGUGACGAAGCGUGAGUGACGGUAAUGGGUAAAGAAGCACCGGCUAACUACGUG
rnacentral:rRNA from 1 species